CCUUUGCUGUGCAAAAGCUUUUCAGUUUGAUGAGGUCCCAUGGGUUUAUUUUUGCUCUAAUUUCUAUUGCUUUGGGAGACUGACCUGAGAAAAUAUUCAUGAUGUUGAUGUCAGAGAGUGUUUUGCCUAUGUUUUCUUCUAGGAGUUUGAUGGUGUCCUGUCGUAUAUUUAAGUCUUUCAGCCAUUUGGAGUUUAUUUUUGUGCAUGGUGUGAGGGUGUGUUCUAGUUUCAUUGCUUUGCAUGCAGCUGUCCAGGUUUCCCAGCAAUGCUUGCUGAAUAGACUUUCUUUUUCCCAUUUUAUGUUCUUGCCUCCCUUGUCAAAGAUUAAUUGACCAUAGGUGUCAGGGUUUAUUUCCGGAUUCUCUAUUCUGUUCCAUUGGUCUGUCUGUCUGUUUUGAUACCAGUACCACACUGUUUUGAUGACUGUGGCUUUGUAGUAUUUCUUGAAGUCUGGGAGAGUUAUGCCUCCUGCUUGGUUUUUGUUUCUCAGGAUUGCUUUGGCGAUUCUGGGUCUUUUGUUGUUCCAUAUAAAUGUUUGGAUUGUUUGUUCUAGUUCUGUGAACAAUGUCAUGGGUAAUUUGAUAGGGAUUGCAUUGAAUCUGUAGAUUGCUUUGGGUAGUAUGGCCAUUUUUACAAUAUUGAUUUUCCCAAUCCAGGAACAUGGAAUAUCUUUCCAUUUCUUUACAUCUUCUUUGAUUUCUUUGAUUAAAGUUUUAUAGUUCUCGGCAUAUAGGUCCUUUACCUCCUUGGUCAGGUGUAUUCCGAGGUAUUUGAUUUUGUGAGGUGCAAUUUUAAAAGGUAUUGUAUUUUUGUAUUCCUUUUCUAAUAUUUCAUUGUUAGUAUACAGAAAUGUGGCUGAUUUCUGAAUGUUAGUCUUAUAUCCUGCUACUUUGCUGAAUUUGUUGAUCAAGUAGUUUUUGGAUUGAGUGCUUAGGGUUUUGUAUAUAUAGUAUCAUCUGCUUUCAAGAUUUUCUCUUUGUCUUUAAUUUUGGUUGGUUUGAUUAAUAUGUGUCUCGGUGUAUUCCUCCUUGGGUUUAUUUUAUAUGGUACUCGUUGUGUUUCCUGGAUUUGAGGGAGUGGUUCCUUUCUCAUACUACGAAAGUUUUCGGCUAUUAUGUCUUGGAAUAUUUUUUCUGUCCUCUUCUCACUUUCUCCUUCUGGCACCCCUAUAAUACGGAUGUUGGUGCAUUUAACGUUGUCCCAGAGUUCUGUGAGACUCUCUUCAUUUCUUUUCCAUCUUUUUUCUCUUUUCUGUUCUGCAUUCGUAAUUUCCACUAAUCUGUCCUCCACCUUGGUUAUUUGUUCUUCUAUCUCCUAUAUUCUGCUGUUAGCUGCCUCUAGUGAAUUGUUGUAUUUUGCCUCUCUUCUUGUUUAAAUUUUAUAUCUUGUAUCUCUUUGCUCAGUAUUUCCUGUAAAUUAUCCAUCUUUGCCUCCAGUUUAUUUCCAAUGUCUUGCAUCAUCUUCAGCAUCAACAGUCUCUAAAGUCUUUUUCCUGGAGGCUGAGAAUCUCCUCCUUGCUUAGCUGUUUUUCUGUUGUUGUUGUUGUUUUUUUUUUUUUUCCUUUCUCCCUCAUCUGAGUUAUAAUUCUCUGUCUUUUCAUUUUUAUAGGUUUUUGGCGUGGUGACCUUUUUACAGAUAAUAGAGUUAUAGCCUCUCUUACUUUUGGUGUCUUCCCCCCUUGUGGCUGAUGUCGGUAUGGGGGUUUGCUGUAGGCUUCCUGAUGGGAGGCGCUGAUGCCUGCCCCCUGGUAGGUGGAGCUGAUUCUAAUCCCUCUGGUGGGUUGGGCUUAGUUUCUGGAUGGGAUUAGAGGCAGCUGUGUGCCUGGUGGGUCUUUAGGCAGCCUGUUUACUGAGGGGUGGGGCUGUGAUCCCACCUGGAUAGUUGUUUGCCCUGGGGCUUCUAGGUGCUGAUGGGUGGGGCCAGAUUUUCCCAAAAUGGCCACCUCCAGAGAAAGGCACACUGCAGAAUAUUCCUGAGAGCUUUGCUUCCAGUGUCCUUCCCUCACAAGCCACAUUCACCCCCUGUUUUCCCAGUAUGUCCUCCAAGAACUGCAGUCAGGUUUCAUCCAGAUUCCUAUGGAGACUUUGCUUUGCCCUGGGACCUAAUGCAUGUGAGAUUCUGUGUGUGCCUUUUAAGAAUGGGGUCUCCAUUUCCCUCAGUCCCAUGGAGCUCCUGCACACAAGCCCCACUGGCCUUCAACUCCAGAUGCUCCAGGGGCUCUUUCUUUCUCUCAGUGCCAUAUCCCCACACGUGAGAGUUUGAUGUGGGGCUCAGAACUCUCACUCCUGUGGUGAGUCUCUGAACCAGUUUCUUUCCGGUCUGUGGGGCUUCCCACACAGGAGGUAUGUGGUUGUUUAUAUCACAUAAUCGCCCUUCCUACCUCUUGAUGUGGCCUCCUCUUUGUCUUCUGGAGUAGGAUAUCUUUUUUAAGGUUUCCUGUCCAUUUUGUUGAAGAUUGCUCAGCCUUUAGUUAUGAAUUUUGUUGUUUUUAGAAGGGAAGUUGAG
rnacentral:lncRNA from 1 species